GGAAGGGUGGUCUAGUGGGUAGGGCAAUAGGCUGGGACAUAAAAGUCCAGGGUUCAAGUCCCUCCGCUACCA
rnacentral:tRNA from 1 species